AGAUGAGCAAAUCCAUUUUUUCGAAAUAUAUAUGGGAAAAUUGGUUUAUAUGAAAUAUUAAUUAUAAAUUUACAAUGGAAUGGGACAACGGAAAUAUGUUCCAUAAAAUUAUAUUAAUACCAAAGUUCCUACUGUCGCCGGAAGAAAUUAAUGAAAAAAAAAAUGUCGAAAACAUGUUGGAUUUAAUUUGCGUGGAAGAAUAUAAUAUAGACAUGGGUGUAGGGCUGGGAACCAAUAGAAGAGGAUAUUUAAAGGGAUAUCCUACUUUAGUGGAAACGACAAGAAAAAGGCUAAAAAUAUUGGCAAUUUCAGCAACUAGUGUUUCUAAAUGAGGAUUUGCUGCAAGAUUUUUACAACAAAGAAGAACCUUUUUGAAUCCAGAAAAUGUGGAUUCAUUAUUAUUUUUGCAUUAUAAUUACAAAUAUCAAUGAAUAUUUUAUUUAUCAAAAUCCUUAUCCAUAAUUUAAAUUAAAUUGAAUAUUUUUUUAUGCUUAAUAUAGCAAUUUCUUAAAUUAUCAAACU